UUGAAAAUAUUCCUCAACUACUGUGCACAACAGUUAAGAAUGCUCUGGUAGUCGACGAAUACUUCCAUAGUCGUGUUUGAAACAGGAAGGGAAGGAAGAAAACGAACAUUCAGCCCUUCUGGUGAAAGAUAUGUUGUGCUUAUAUAAAAGGGUUUGACAAAUUAAUUCAUUUGUCUUUUCUUUUACUGAAACAAUUCUCCACUGAAAUCUUCCCUGUAUUCUAAAGCAGAGUUCAUCAGCAACAUUGGUUGUGCGGCAACCCACACACCUUUACAGCGUUCGGAUUUCGUUGCCUUUGUUUUGAAGACAUAAGGUGAGAGAUGUGCAGAAAUGUUAGUCACAAAAGAAGAUGUUAGGAUUAUGUGGUGCCCUGUGCCAGCACUGAGUUCAGCUCCUGAGAGAAUGAGGUACCUGCACGUGUGUGUGUGUGUGUGUGUGUUUGAGACAAGGUCUCACUCACUCUGUCACCGAGGCUGGAGUGCAGUGGCAUGGUCACAGCUCUCUGCAGCCUCAACCUCCCCAGCUCAAAUGAUCCUCUCACCUUGACCUCCUAAAGUGCUGGGGUUACAGGCAU
rnacentral:lncRNA from 10 species